AAACUUAAUCACCUAAAACAAAAAAGUUAUUAUUUAUCAGUUGCUUACUGUUUAAGUGAAAGCUUCUAUUUAUUUAUGGGUAGUUUGAUGGGCGUUUGCACUAAUACUUUUGUGUUAAAUUUUAUAAAAUCUCACCGCUUUCAACCUACAUUAUCGAUGAUUUUCGUAUGAUUAAAGUCAAAAAAAUUAAUUUUAGAUAACUUAUUUUGGUAAG
rnacentral:misc_RNA from 1 species